AGCGCAGGCGGUUUCUUAAGUCUGAUGUGAAAGCCUUCGGCUCAACCGAAGAAGUGCAUCGGAAACUGGGAAACUUGAGUGCAGAAGAGGACAGUGGAACUCCAUGUGUAGCGGUGAAAUGCGUAGAUAUAUGGAAGAACACCAGUGGCGAAGGCGGCUGUCUGGACGGUAACUGACGUUGAGGCUCGAAAGCGUGGGAGCAAACA
rnacentral:rRNA from 1 species